rnacentral:rRNA from 1 species
UACAGAGGUCUCAAGCGUUGUUCGGAUUCAUUGGGCGUAAAGGGGUGCGUAGGUGGCGCCGUAAGUCGGGGUGUGAAAAUUUCGGAGCUUAACUCCGAAACUGCAUUCGAUACUGCGGUGCUUGAGGACUGGAGAGGAGACUGGAAUUCAUGGUGUAGCAGUGAAAUGCGUAGAGAUCAUGAGGAAGACCAGUGGCGAAGGCGGGUCUCUGGACAGUUCCUGACACUGAGGCACGAAGGGCCAGGGGGAGCAAACGGG